GAUGAACGCUGGCGGCGUGCCUAAUACAUGCAAGUCGAGCGAACAGACGAGGAGCUUGCUCCUCUGACGUUAGCGGCGGACGGGUGAGUAACACGUGGAUAACCUACCUAUAAGACUGGGAUAACUUCGGGAAACCGGAGCUAAUACCGGAUAAUAUAUUGAACCGCAUGGUUCAAUAGUGAAAGACGGUUUUGCUGUCACUUAUAGAUGGAUCCGCGCCGCAUUAGCUAGUUGGUAAGGUAACGGCUUACCAAGGCGACGAUGCGUAGCCGACCUGAGAGGGUGAUCGGCCACACUGAAAAUGAGACACGGUCCAGACUCCGACGGGAGGAAGCAGUAGGGAAUCUUCCGCAAUGGGCGAAAGCCUGACGGAGCAACGCCGCGUGAGUGAUGAAGGUCUUGGGAUCGUAAAACUCUGUUAUUAGGGAAGAACAAAUGUGUAAGUAACUAUGCACGUCUUGACGGUACCUAAUCAGAAAGCCACGGCUAACUACGUG
rnacentral:rRNA from 1 species